rnacentral:rRNA from 1 species
GCUGGCGGCGUGCCUAAUACAUGCAAGUCGAACGGAAGUACCUUCGGGUACUUUAGUGGCGAACGGGUGAGUAAUACAUAGGUAACCUACCCUUAAGACGAGGAUAGCCAUUGGAAACGAUGGAUAAAACUGGAUAGGAUAUAGAGGAAGAAUCUUUUAUAUUUAAAAGAGAGAUCUGCUUAAGGAGGGGCCUGUGGCGCAUUAGCUAGUUGGUGGGGUAAGGGCCUACCAAGGCGAUGAUGCGUAGCCGGACUGAGAGGUUGAACGGCCACAAUGGAACUGAGAACGGUCCAUACUCCUACGGGAGGCAGCAGUAGGGAAUUUUCGGCAAUGGGGGGAACCCUGACCGAGCAACGCCGCGUGAACGAAGAAGUUAUUCGUAAUGUAAAGUUCUUUUAUCAGGGACGAAAGAGGAAUUUGACGGUACCUGAGGAAUAAGCUCCGGCUAACUACGUGCCAGCAGCCGCGGUAAUACGUAGGGAGCGAGCGUUAUCCGGAAUUAUUGGGCGUAAAGGGUGCGUAGAUGGCAUAGUAAGUCUUUUGUAAAAAUGCUGGGCUCAACCCGGUAGGGCAAAAGAUACUGCAAAGCUAGAGUAUGACAGAGGCAAGUGGAACUACAUGUGUAGCGGUAAAAUGCGUAAAUAUAUGUAAGAACACCAGUGGCGAAGGCGGCUUGCUGGGUCGAUACUGACAUUGAGGCACGAAAGCGUGGGGAGCAAACAGGAUUAGAUACCCUGGUAGUCCACGCCCUAAACGAUGAGUUCUAAGUGUUGGUGAGAAUCAGUGCUGAAGUUAACGCAUUAAGUACUCCGCCUGAGUAGUACGUACGCAAGUAUGAAACUUAAAGGAAUUGACGGGAGCCCGCACAAGCGGUGGAGCAUGUUGUUUAAUUCGACGAUACGCGAAGAACCUUACCAGGUCUUGACAUAGCACGCGAAGGCGUAGAGAUACGUUGGAGGAUAGCGUGCAUACAGGUGGUGCAUGGUUGUCGUCAGCUCGUGUCGUGAGAUGUUGGGUUAAGUCCCGCAACGAGCGCAACCCUUAUUUCUAGUUACCAGCAGUAAGAUGGGGACUCUAGAGAGACUGCCAUUGAUAAAAUGGAGGAAGGUGGGGAUGACGUCAAAUCAUCAUGCCCUAUAUGACCUGGGCUACAAACGUGCUACAAUGGCUGAAACAAAGAGAAGCGAGCCCGCGAGGGGGAGCGAACCUCAAAAAAGCAGUCUCAGUUCGGAUUGAAGUCUGCAACUCGACUUCAUGAAGAUGGAAUCGCUAGUAAUCGCGAAUCAGAAUGUCGCGGUGAAUACGUUCUCGGGCUUUGUACACACCGCCCGUCAAACCAUGAGAGUUUGUAAUACCCGAAGCCGGUGGCCUAACGAAAGAGGGAGCCGUCUAAGGUAGGAC